rnacentral:tRNA from 1 species
GGAGAGAUGGCAGAGUCUGGUUUAAUGCACCAUCUUGGAAGGGUGGCGUACGGCAACGUACCGAGGGUUCGAAUCCCUCUCUCUCCG